rnacentral:rRNA from 1 species
ACGAACGCUGGCGGCGUGCUUAACACAUGCAAGUCGAACGGAAAGGCCCUGCUUUUGUGGGGUGCUCGAGUGGCGAACGGGUGAGUAACACGUGAGUAACCUGCCCUUGACUUUGGGAUAACUUCAGGAAACUGGGGCUAAUACCGGAUAGGAGCUCCUGCUGCAUGGUGGGGGUUGGAAAGUUUCGGCGGUUGGGGAUGGACUCGCGGCUUAUCAGCUUGUUGGCGGGGUAGUGGCUUACCAAGGCUUUGACGGGUAGCCGGCCUGAGAGGGUGGCGGGGGACGAGAGGACUGUGCGACGGGGCAGAGGGAGACGGGAGGAAACGGGGGGGAGGGUGGUACAGUGGGCCGGAGCGUGAGGAGGAGGUGCCGGGUGGGGAAGGACGGGGAAGGGGUGGGGAAGGGCAGGAAGCUGAGACCGGGCGGGGGGGAGGUUAAUGGGAAAAGAAGCAACGGAUAACUUCGUG